CUGACUCUGAGGAGUCCCACAAUAGGACGAAACAGCCGUCCAG
rnacentral:hammerhead_ribozyme from 1 species